UUAAGGGGGGGGGGAUCAAAAUGGCUUUUUGUAGAAAGUGAGACUUUAGCUGAGAGUUAAAAAAAAAGACAGAGAAGCCAGAGAGAGGAGAAGAGGGGCAGUUCCAGACACGGGAGGUUGUUGGUGCUGUUCAGUCUUUUUUUUUAGUCCAGUCUGACUCUUUGUGAUCCUGUUUGGGGUUUUCCUGGCAAAGAUAUUGGAGUGGUUUGCCAUUUCCUUUUCCAGUUCAUUUGACAGAUGGGGAAACUGAGGCAAACAGGAUUAAGUGACUUGUUUAGGGUCGCACAGCUAGGAAAUAUCUGAGGCUGGGUUUGAACUUAGGUAGAUGGGUCUUUUUGACUCCAAGUGUGAGAGAGAUCCUACUGAAAAUUCAUUGUUGGGAGGUGGGGUGUCUUUCUCAAGGAACAGCAAAGAGACGAGUGUCAUGGGAUCAGUGUGUGUGUGUGUGUGUGUGUGUGUUUGUAUGUGUUAGAGCGGAUAAGGUGUAACAAGGUUGGAAAAAUAGAAGGAGCAGGUCACAAAGGACUUUUAAAGCCUUCCCUCAAGACAAGCCAGGCAGGUAAUCAGCAUGGGGAAGGGGAAGGGAAGAGUACCAACUGCCUCCUAAGCUCUAGGCUCUAUUCUAAGCACUUUCUUUAACACCUCACCUUCCAUCUUAAAAUCAACACUAUUAUUGGCUCCAAGGCAGAAGAGUGGUAAGGGCUAGGCAAUGGGGGUUAAGGGACUUGCCCAGGGUCAUCCAGCUAAGGAGUGUCUGAGGCCAGAUUUGAACCCAAGACCUCCUGUCUCUAGGCCUGCCUCUCAAUCUACUGAGCCAUUCAGCUGUCCCCUCUAAGUUCUUUUAAAGAAAUAUUAUCUCAUGAUAUUUAUAAACUGAUCCUCACUGUAACCAUUCAAGGUAGGGAUUAUUAUUAUCAUCUCCAUUUUACAGCUACAGAAACUGAGGUGGAUGGAGGUCAAGUGACUUAACCAGGGUCUCAAAGCUAGUCUAAGGCUGGAUUUGAACUCAGGUCUUCCAGACUCCAGAGCUAACACUCUAUCUACUUCACCUCUAGCUAACUUUGCAUUUAUUAAGUAAUUACUGUAUAUCCUGAGACUGGGGAUACAAAGAAAUAGAAAAACCACAGAAUCUGCCCUCAAGAAGCUCCUGUUCUAAUUGGGAAGACACUAUGUGCUGUGAGAAUUUUUCCCAUACUGUAUUAUUCCUAUGGCAGGUUCUCGAGCAGGCUCCAAUCUAACAGGCUAAGCCCUGUAUUUUCUUGGUUAUCAGGAACUCCCAGGAAUGUGCCCCUCUCAUAUAAAUCUUCCUGCCUACCAGACCCCAUUACCUCUGGGUGUGUACAACCUUUUCAUUAUCUGUUCACCAAUCAGAGAUGUCUUUCAAACACUACAUAAAAGGGGCAGCUAUGUGGUUCAGGGGAUGAGGGGAUGGACAGUCAGUCUUGGGACUGGGUUCAAAUCUGGUUUUUGACACUUCCUAGCUGUGUGACCUUGGACAAGUCACUUAACCCCAAUUGCCUAGCCUUUACCACUCUUCUUCACUCAGUAUUCAUUAUAAGAUAGAAGAUAAGGGUUAAGCUAAGAAUAAGAAGGGUUAAAAAACCCCAUUUUAUAGAGAUGACAUUAGGGAAUAAACUUCAUUCUCUCAAAUAGUUGACUUUGAAGGGUUAGAGAUUUAGGAAUGGAAGAGACCUUAGAAGUCAUCUUCUAGUUCAACCUCCCUCAUUUCACAACUGAGGAAACUGAGUCACAGAGAAGGGAAGUAAUUUUCCCCAGGUUACAAAGGUAGGGAAUGUUAGAGAGAAUCUGAACCUAGAUACUCUGAUUCCAAAUCCUAUACUCUUUCCACUAUAACUGAUUACUAACCUCUAAGAGUAUAAUAAUAAUGACUUAGCCUCCUAGCUCAGGUAUUUGUGUAGAAUUAAAAAAAAUCAAACCAGAAGACAGUGUGGUAUAGUAGAGAGGGUGUCAGAAACUUGAGUUCAAGUCCUAGCUUGGCCUCCCUGCCUUGCUCUCUGAUGAAGAUCUCAUUCCCACUUCACUGGAAAAAAUGUGCUCAAAAGUCACUUUGUUUUUCUUUGCCUCUGUUUUGUCAUCUGUAAAAUGGAACUGAUAGCAGUACUUGCACUGCUUACCUGCCUGCUUUCAAGACAUUCAGGAGGAUCCACUGAGAUUAUGGAAAUUGGAAGGGACCUCAGAAGCCAUUCAUUCAUUCAUUCAUUCAUUCAUUCAUUCAUUCAUUCAUUCAUUCAUUCAUUCAUUCAUUCAUUCAUUCAUUCAUUCAUUCAUUCAUUCAUUCGUUUGUCUAUCUAUCUACCUACCUAUCUACCUACCUACCUACCUAUCUAUCUAUCUAUCUAUCUAUCUAUCUAUCUAUCUAUCUAUCUAUCUAUCUAUCUAUCUAUCUAUCUAUCUAUCUAUCUACCAGCCUCUGCAUUUUACAGAUAAGGAAACUGAGCACCCAGGGAGGUUAAGGGAUUUUGCUCAAUGCCACACAGGUAGUAGGCAUCAAAGACAACAUUUGAAUCCAGGCUGCCUGACUCCAGCCAGAGCCAAUGUUCUCUACUCUUCUAUGCUUUAAUACCUAUGCUCUGUCCAUUAGACUUUACUGCCACCUCUACGGUUCCCACCAAGAAGCAAAAUUUGCCUUUGUUGGAAAUCUAUAGUUUGAAAUCUUACCUGUGUGCUUGGGUCCUGGGAUUCUGAAAUAGAAGUAGGAACAUUUUGGUGGGACAGGGGACAGGAGAAGAAGGUGGGGGGAAGGGGAGAGAUUUUGCUGAUCUCUACAAAUAUUAGUGAAAGGAUUCUAGACCUUUAGGAAAUGGUAAGAAGCAGCCCAGUUCAUUUGCUGCCAAUUUCACCAUUAGUCUUUGGCAUCAACCUUUUGCAGUCAUAAAGGAACUACUGUGGUCUCAGGAGGUUGCUCCAGGAGAAGAGUAGCUUUUUGGCUAAUAUUAUUAGAAAAUGUUUUACCUUUCCAGUGUCCAGCAACUUUGAUCCACUUAGGAAAAAAGAGCCAGGAGUGGACAGGGUGGGACAGAGUUGGGGCUAAUGUUUAUUUUCUUUGGAAAUUUCUUGAACCAGCUUUGGGGGGGGGAGGAUAAUAAAAAUGUGCCCCUCGUCCCCAAAUCUUUAUAGAGGUGAUGGAUCUUGGAUAGGGAACACUGCAUAAAAUGUCAGAUCUUUUUUGAUGUCUUGGUUAAUUUUAAUGGAUGGUCAUUCUCCUUUUUAGAAAUUUACAUCUGCCUUUCUUUUCAAUUCUUUAUUAUUAGGGAUAGUUCUCUUUUAGGAGGAGAGGGAGAAAUACCUUUAGAAAUGAAGAUGAUAUAAAAAUGAAAGAAUGCAAUAAAAUUUUUUAAAAAAACUCAUUCAAAUGACAUCCCACCUUCACAAUGUUCUUUCUGUAUUUAUUCUUCUCUAUUCUUUCCCACUCUGACUCCUCACUCCCCCAAACCUCUAGAAGAGGAAAUAAUUGCAGUGGAGAGGGCAGAGUUUUUGAAAGAGUUUGGGAUUUGUAAAGGACCUUAUGGGCCAUCGAAUGCAACCCUCUUAUUUCCCCCAUGGGGAAACCCAUGGGCCAAUUUCACGCAUAUAGUAAAAUAGUCGAGGCCAGAUCUGAACCCGAGUUCCAGAGUCAGGGAUCCCUUCCUUCCAAAUCUGACACUUUUUCUGUGGCACCAUGACUUGACUCAUAUGGGGGUCUUCAAAAACUACCCUAGGGUCAAGGGAUUCUGUGGGUAAGGCCUCACUCAAAACCAGAAGGUUCACAAGCCCCCACCGAUGUGCUUCCUUUUUUCAGAUGCCCAGAAGACAUAUUAGUUUGUGCAAAAGAUAUUUAAUGUCGAUCAACCCAUAAACAUUUUAUAAGCAACUUCUAUGUGCCAGGAAUCUGGGAGCUUCAAGGUAAAGUGAGUAGAGGACCUGGUGGGGUUGGGAUAAGGCUCAUGGAAUGCCAUUUCUAGAAGGGACCUUGGAAACCUUUUGUCUGAUUCUUUCAUUUUUGCAGAGGAGCACUUGGGAUUGCAACUAGGACUUUUUCACAUGGGACAAAAAUGGUCAUGAGGGGCAGUAACUAGAGAUAUCUCUCACCCCCAGAGGACAGACCCUCUUUGGUUCUGACAUCUUUGACCCCAUUGGCUUGUCCAAAUUAUAUUCACUUUAACUUAGCUAUAACCAUUUUUAAAAUUUAUUUUUUUAAAAACCCUCACCUUCCAUCUUGGAGUCAAUACUGUGUAUUGGUUCCAAGGCAGAAGAGUGACAAGGGCUAGGCAAUGGGGGUCAAGUGACUUGCCCAGGGUCACCCAGCUGGGAAGUGUCUGAGGCCAGAUUUGAACCUAGGACCUCCCAUCUCUAGGCCUGUCAAUCCACUGAGCUACCCAGGUGCCCCCUCUCAGCUAUAAUCAUAUCCCUUCUCUGAACCUCAGUUUUCUGUUCUACAAAAUGGGGAUUAUGUCUUUUGUGCUAUCUAUCUCACCAGGCAGCUUGGAAGACAUUUUCUAAGCCUCAAGGUGCUAGACUUGUGUGCUUUCUUCUUAUUUUUAUUUUGAAUGCCCCAUUACUGUUUUUUCCUUAUUAUGAUGAGGUCAUAUAAUCAUAGAUUCAUUCAUUCAGUCAAUAAGUAUUUAUUGUUGUCUGAAUCUCUGUGACCCCAUUUGGGGUUUUCUUGGAAAAGACACUAGAGUGGUUGGGCAUUUCCUUCUCCAGAUCAUUUUAUAGAUGAGGAAACUGAGGCCAACAGGGUGAAGUGACUUGCCCAGGGUCACACAGCUGGGACAUGUCUAAGGCUAGAUUUGAACCUAGGACCUCCUGUCUCUGAGCCUGGCUCUCAAGCCACUAAGCCACCCAGCUGCCUCACACACAGCUAGUAAGUAUCUGAUGCCUGAUUGGAACUCAGGUCCUCCUGACUCCAGGCUCAGCACUGUCUCCACUGUGCCACCUUCUCUAUGCCAGGCACUAUUCUAUGUACUGGUGAUACAAAGAAAGACGUCUAUCCUCAAGGAGUGUCCACUCUACAGAGGAGAUAGGGGUCAUUAUGCUCUUAACUGAAUAUUACAUAGAUAUAUAUGUGAAUAUACACAAAGUAGGAUAAAUGAGAAUCUCAGAGGAGAAGGCAUUAACAGCUGGGGACUUUGGCAAAUGCCUCUUGUAGAAGGUAAGACUCAAGGAAGUCAGGGAAGCAAGGAGGCAGAGGAGAGGAGAGAGAGAGGGCCGGCAGAAUUCUCAGAUGCCAAGUUGUCCAAUAUUCCCAUUAUGCAGAUAGAGAAACUGAGGUCUGGAGAGUUAAAGGGAUAGGAUGUCAGUCAAAAGCCAUUUUUGUGCUGUAACAGUUAAAUUAGUUUCUCUACUAAAAGUAUAAUAUUUUUAGAGGCUUAUUAAAGAUUAUUAGAAAUCAAGGAGAAAGAAAAUACAAAAUAAGAAAGCACAUGCCUAGGGCACAUAGCCCAUUCACAGCCCCUUACAUCUUGCCUGCGUGUGCUUAGAAGCAGAGGAAGAGAGACCAAGUAGGCGGUACAGUCAGUUUAAAAACCAAUUUUGUUCUCAGCUCAGGUAGGGAUCUCAGGUGAGAUUAUAGGGCAUUCUGGGAAGUGACAAGGACUUCUGGGAAUUGAAGUCUGGGGUUCAAAUCUCCAUUUUUACAGUGCAUAUAUGCACAACCAUCUAUUGAGGUGUGGGGAGGCCAUUAUACUACUGCCCUUCUGAUCAAGUCACAUAUGCUUGAAGCAUUAAUAGUAAUUAAUUCUAGAGGGGCAGCUGGGGAGCUCAGUGGUUUGAGAGUCAGGCAUAGAGAAGAGAGGUCCUGGGUUCAAAUCUAGCCUCAGACACUUCCUAGCUGUGUGACACAGGGCAAGUCCCUUAACCCCCAUUGCCUAGUCUUUACUACACUUCUGCCUUGGAACCAAUAUUGAUUCUAAGGCAGAAGGUAAGGGUUUUAAAAAAUAACUAAUUCUAUACUAUAGAAGCAUUAACAAUAAUUAUAGAGCUAGGAAUAGGGAUAGGACCAUGAUAAUAAAAAUAACUGCUUUUGCCUCCUACACGAGCCUUUUGCUGACUCCCUAUUGACUCCUGGCUCCCUUUGCCUGCCCAUCCAAAAUAACCUUAUGUAUAUUCUGUAUAAACAUUGAAGUGUCCAUGCGUUCUCCCUCAAUGGACUGUAACAUCCCCGAAGGGAGAAAUGUCUGAUUUUUGUCUUUAUAUCUCUAGUGUCUAACUCAGAGUUGGCUAGUCAGUGCUCGACAAAUGUUGAAUGAUUAGAUCCUAGAUUUAGAGCUGGAAAGGACCUUGGAGGACCUUAAGCCUGAUUCCUUUGUUUUAUAUAUGGGGAAACUGAGUUACAGAGAGAUUCACUGCUCGGAACCCAGGUUCGAAUCCUAGCACUCCCAUUUAUUAGCUAUGUGACUCCUGGGGCCAAUUAGUUAAUCUCUCCAGUCCUCAGUUUCCUUAUUGGUGAAGAGGGGAGGUUUGGAUUGGAUGGUCUUCACAUCUCCUUUCAGUUCUAGACUCAAGAUUGUGUUUGUGUUGGAGCAAGAACGAAAAAUCUCUCUAGUUCAAUUCAGCAAGUCUUAAUGAAUUAAUUAACGCAUGUGCUGUGCAUUAGGCACUGUGAUAUACAUUGGGGAUAAUAAAGAAAGAAAUGAAAAUGGUUCCUGCCUUCAAGGAAAUUCCAUUCGAUUGGGGAAAGAACAUGAACACAGGAAAGUAAAUUCAAAACCAUAUAUCGAAGGUGUAGACAAAGGAAUUUUGGUGGAAGAAAUAUUAAUAAACAAAAAAGACUACAAAGUCAGAUGCACAAUAGAACGUUAGACCCAGAAGAUUCACUCUUAGAAAUAAGAUUGCAGCAUCUCAGGCUACCCAAAAGAUCAGGACAUGUCCGGGGUCUCACAACUAGCUAAUCGAAGGGCAGAUCCUAGAACCCAGAGCUCCGGGCUCCUAGAUGGGUGUUCUAACCAUUCUGCCACAUUUUCUCAGAAAAUAGUGAUAUUUUUUGUCCAAGAAGAGAUUGCUGCAUUCCCAUCUUCACGGCAGGGGAAGCUUCCAUUAGAGCAGAGUCAGCUGAGCCUGCCUUUGUGGACUGUGGUGUGGGGAACUGAACAAGAGAGGUUUGGAAUUCCUGCCCAUCCUCCCAGCAAACCAUCCUGGCUGGGCAGGUCCAGCCUGUAAUGUAAUUGUCCUUGGGGCACUUAGUAAAUUAGAAACCCCACAGCGAGGAAAUGAAAACCAGCUCUUGAAAAUCACAAACUCUUUCAUUUAGCACUUUGGUUUCUAUUUCUCUGAGGCACUUAUCAUAGCAUAGUCUAAUAAGUGUGUGUUUGUAAUGUUUAAUCUCUCCUCCCUCCCAGACUGUCUGCAUCUUGAAGGUAAGCAUCCUGCCUUAUUAUCUUCUCAUCUCUGACAGUUGGUGGCUCAAUGGAGAGAGAAUGCUGGGUCCAGAGGCAGGAAGACCUGAGUUCAGAUUCAGAUUCAGACACUUACGAGCUGUAACUACUUGAUCCCUGUUUGCCUCAGUUUCCCCAUCUGCAAAAGAGUGAUAAUAACAGCAUCCACCUCUAUGAUUCUUGUGAAGAUCAAUUGAGAUAAUUAUAAAGUGCUUAACGUGGUGUCUGGAACAACACUACAGAUUACAUGGGUCUGGAAUCAGAAAAACCUUAAUUGGAAUCCAGCUUUGAACACUCACUAAAUCUGCGUGAUCUGAGCUCUGGCUGCCUCAUAUCUGUGACAUUAGGUGGGGCGAUCACCAUCUCCUGCUCUGAUGAUGCCGUAGGGAAUAAAAUCAUAUAGUGAUGCCAGCAAAAAUCUGGAGAUCAGAGAAAGAAGAAAGGAUUUCAUUUGGAUGAAAACUCUGAUAGCAGCUGCUUUUGUAUUGGCCAAGAACUCAAAGCUAAGGGGGUACCUUUCAGGUAGGGGAUUGGCGAACGCUCUCCAACGAUGAGUAGGAGAACGAAUGUAAUGGAAUUUUAUUUUGCCACAAGAAAUGACUAAAGGGAUGGCUUCAGAGAAACCUGAGAAGACUUGUGUGAACUGAGGUAAAGUGAAGUGAGCGGACCAUAAAAACAACAUAUACGACAACAACAAUGAAAAGAAAAAUAGCUUUAAAAGGCUGAAGAGUUCCACCGAACACAAUUGCCAAUCAUGAUACAAGAGAAGCAAUCUAUAAUGAAGCAUGCUACUCACUUCUUGACAGAAGUGGUGGGCUCAGUGCACAGAAUGAGGCAUGUUUUUGGGCAACAUGGGGAUUUGUUUUGCUUGACUGCAUUUUUUUCAUGAGGGUUUUAUUUUGGCUUUUCCAGUAUGGGGGAGAAGAGCAGGGUGCGAGGGAGAUAAAAUAGAUUUGUUUUUAGUGAAACAUCCUUUAGAGUAAAAACCUGGAAACUGCUUUUAAGUCCAGUUUACCAUCCACAUUUAAAUUCAUAGGUAACGUGUUGGUUCCCACAAAGAAGAGAAACUCACUCAAGUCUUGGUAUUUAUCAUUUACAAGGAUGAUAAGGACUGUUGGGAACCCCUGGCUGAUUCUCUGGCUCCAGCACUGGGAAGCUGACUCCAAUAACCAUCUCCUAGGUUCAACUCAAGGAUGAGGAUACUUAUUAGUGCUAUCAAAACUGCUAGAUAGAGACUCUGCUUGAUUUGGAGUCAGGAAGAUGUGAGUUCAAAUCCCUGCCUCUGACACUUACUAGCUGGUUUCCUCAUUAUAAAAUGAAGAUGUUUGAAUUGUUGACUUCUAAUGUCCCUUCCAAAGCUAAAUCAAUGAUGCUAUGGACUCCACUUUGUUGGAGACAUCUUUAAAUAGAUUUUGGAAAACUUUCAAAUAAGUGAUCUUUAGUUCCUAGUGUCCUUUCAGCCUGACUUUGAAAUGAUUCUCUGGAGGGUCCCAUUCCUCUGCUAUCUGCUAUCACUUAGAAUUAUACUUUUAUUUUUUCCCUUCUUUGAGAAUCAUCCCUUAUAACAAAUAAUUAUUUAAGAGAGAAGAAAGACUAAUAAAAUCAGUAAACACAUUAAAAAACAUGAAAUGUAAGUCCUCCAAACCAUGAACUUCAUCUUCUGAAAAGAAUCAGGAGGACUUAUUUUCUCCAUGUCUUCUUUGGGGACCAAUUUAAAUGUUAUAAUUUCACAAUAUUCAGUUUUGAUUGGUGUUUGUCAUUUCUGCCUUUCACAUUCUUGUUGGGUAAUUGUUUACAUUGCUCUGAUUAUUUCAUUUUGCAUCAGUUCACGAGUAUUUCUAUCCUUCUUGAUGUUAUGAAAGAUUUUGAAUGCCAGGCUGUGUAGUAUGUAUUUUAUUCUAGAGGCAAAAGGGAGCCACCAAUUGUUUUGGAACAAGAAUUUGACAAUUAAAAAAAUCCUUACGUUCCAUCUUUGAAUCAAUAUUAUGUAUUGGUUCUAAGGCAGAAGAGUGGUACGUUGGCAAAGAAUAGGAAAGUGAGAGGAUGUCUAUCAGUUGGGGAAUGACUGAACAGAUUGUGGUACAUGUCAGUAAUGAAAUACUAUUGGGCUGUAAGAAACUCUGAGCUGGGAAGAUCUACAUGAACUGAUGCAGAGCAAAAUAAGCAGAACCAGAACAUUGUACAUAGCAGAGGCUACAUUGGACAAUGAUCAACUAUGAAAGACUUAGCUACUCUCAGCAAUAUAAUUCUGAAGGAAAUAUGACAAAGAAUGCUAUCUACCACCAGAGAAAGAACUAUUGGAGUUGGAUGCUGAUCAAAAAUAUAGUUUUUCCAUAUUAGUUUAUUUAUGGUUCUAUUUUGCAUUUUGGCUUUAUACGAGUUUUCUCUUACAACAAUGACCAAUAUGGAAUUAUGUUUUGCUUGAUAAUCCAUGUAUAAUCCAGGUCAAAUUUCUUACCAUCUUCAUGAGGGGGGAGGGAAGGGUGGAAGGGAGAUUAUUUGAAUUUUAUAACUUCAGAAAAUAUAAGUUGAAAAUUGUCAUUACAUGUAAUUGUAAAAAUAAAAUGUCUUUGAAUAAAAAAGAAUGGUGAGGGCUAGGCAAUGGGGUCUCAGGGUCACACAUCUAGGAAGUAUCUGAGACCAGAUUUGUACCCAGGACCUUUUGUUUCUAGGCCUGGAUCUCAGUCCACUGAGCCACCAGGUUGCCCUGGCUCAUCUACUCCUAGUCGGUGUCAAUGGUUGUAACUUUAUCUGGCAUGGUGACAGUUGGGGAAGAUAUAUCUCAGCUCUGUGAUGCUUGGUCAGUCACUUCACCUUCAGUCAUUUAGCCUUCCCAUGCCUCACUUUCCUCAUAUGAAAAAAUGGAGCUGGGAUUGAACUUGAUGGUCUGGGAGGUCAUUUCUAGUGCUAAAACUACGAUUAUUCUCAUUUGGGUUCUAAAUCAGGUCAAUAAUUCAGGCUUAGAAUGCACUGAGAUUCUUGACAACUGUGGAAUACAAUAGAAUGAUUUAACUAAUAACAGAAGAGUUCCUAAGGUUAAAAAAGGGCAUGAAGGUGGCACUGGACUUGGAAUCAGGUUCAUCUUCUUGAGUUCAAAUCCAGUCACAGAUACUUGCUAGUUAUGUGACCUUGGGCAAGUCACUUAACCUUGUUUGCCUUAGUUUCCUCAUCUGCAAAUUAAGUUGGAGAAGAAAAUGGCAAACCAUCUAGCAUCUUUGCCAAGAAAACCUCAAAUGGGAUCAUGAAACAACUGAACAACAAAGAGAUUAAAAAGAAUAAUGACUGAUUUUUAUAGAGAUGAGGAUAAAUGACAAAAGGACACAACACAUAAGAUGAAAAGGCAUAAUUAUUAAAACAAAACCUGACCUUUCUCCAUCUCUGCAUUCCCUAAAACAAUCAGCCACACCAAGUCAGGAAAGCAGCUCUGCAGGGUAUGUCAAAACCUUUCCUGUACCAUCUUCCACCAGGUUUCCCAGGCAAGACUUUUUGUACAUCAGGGGGCAAGGAAGGCAAGCCAAUGAUUUGAGUUCAAAUUGCCUUGCUCAACCAAAUCCUCAGAAUAUUCUUCCUGCCAUACCCAAAGGAAAACCAGCCCAACCUACAUAAAACAGAUGCUGAGUCUACUGUCUCCUAACCCUUGAUGGCAAGAGUCUAAAACUUUUCUAGAAGACUGUCUACUAUUAAAAUCAUUUUUAAAAAAUUCUGAUCCUGUAAACAGUAAGUACUUAGAGGAGGAUUUUAGUCCAAAUAAUAAAAACAGAAAACAAUACAAAUAGUCUCUCUUUGUGUCUCUCUCUCUCUCUUUUUUAAUUUAAGUACAAUUUAUGGGGGGGAGGGAAGUGGUUUAGAGAGGCCCCAUCUAGUAUAUACAUUUCCAUUUAACACUGAAAGUUCUCUUUACCCUAGCUAUAUUGCUUGAGGAACCUCCUUAUGUCACCCAACUCAUAAUGGGUAACUGAAUAAAGAGUAACAGAAUAACCCUGUACUAUACAUUCAAUGGCAGCUCAAGCCCAUUGGGCACCCAUGGUUCAAUAGUGGUUGACUCUAGUUGCUUAAUGGCUCUGGAAACCCAUUUAAUCUGAUCAUCCUUCGAUUCUUGUCAAAGGCUAUAUUCAGCUUAGUCUGAUCAAGAAGAUCAAGAUGACCAAGAUGAGCAAGGGGCAAGCUAGUUGAAGGCUUCUUGGGCCAUAGACUAUUCUGGUUUCCACUUGAAAAAGGUUUUUUUUAAACCCUCACCUUCCAUCUUGGAGUCAAUACUGUAUAUUGGCUCCAAGGCAGAAGAGUGGUAAGGGCUAGGCAAUGGGGGUCAAGUGACUUGCCCAGGGUCACACAGCUGGGAAGUAUCUGAGGCCAGAUUUGAACCCAGGACCUCCCAUC